CGGUUGGGCGACGUAGAGAAUUAUAUAUAGACAUAUAGGACCUAUUCGGGAAUCUCCUGACAAAAAAAAAAAUUCUCUGGGAAAAAUGUAUUAUCUUCAACACUUAUCGGACUUGAUCUCGUGUCUCAAGAAGCAAUUGAUGGUGUCAGAAACUCUUGAUCUGAGCCUUAGAAAGAACAGUGUUUAGUUUACCUCAUCUUCUUUUAAUACUACAGACUUACUUUUAAAUAAAAGAUAAUUACGUCCUAAGCGUGUCCCUAGGUCAGUCUAGUCAUGCAUGUUAAUCAAUGACUUCAACUCUGCGAAUAUUUCCAGUCUUAUGAGAUAUUCAUCUCUGGCGGGGAUAAGAUAUAAAUAAUUAGCAUUUAGGUGUAUCCAGCGAACAAAAUAAGGAAGUGUUGAUGAGCUAUGUUUUUUUUUUUAAAGUUGCUUGUUUGUGCAGUUUUUAUCACAGCAGAAUCAAAUGUUCCAAGCUCUUCCGUUUGUAGCUCAUUUAUGUUUUAUUUAGUUGGCAAUAGUACUUGGUUUGUCCUGAAAAUCCCCAAUAUGUUUUUAAAAACCACAUACAUUUGUAGAUUUUGUUUCGUUUAUAUUAAUUUGAUUAGAAAUUGUAGACAUUCUCAUCUGAUCACUUUUACUAUGUUUAAAAGAAACGUUAUCUGAAUAU
rnacentral:sRNA from 1 species